CGAGCGCAGGCGGCGGGCGGCCGGGCCUGGGCAGAGGUCGAAACAGUAGCAAAGGACUGCCUCAGUCUACGAUUUCUUUUGAUGGAAUCUAUGCAAAUAUGAGGAUGGUUCAUAUACUUACAUCAGUUGUUGGAUCCAAAUGUGAAGUACAAGUGAAAAAUGGAGGUGUAUAUGAAGGAGUUUUUAAAACAUACAGUCCUAAGUGUGAUUUGGUACUUGAUGCUGCACAUGAGAAAAGUACAGAAUCUAGUUCGGGGCCAAAACGUGAAGAAAUAAUGGAGAGUAUUUUGUUCAAGUGUUCAGACUUUGUUGUGGUACAGUUUAAAGAUAUGGACUCCAGUUAUGCAAGGAGGGAUGCUUUCACUGACUCCGCUAUCAGUGCUAAAGUGAAUGGUGAACACAAAGAGAAGGACCUGGAGCCGUGGGAUGCAGGUGAACUCACUACCAGUGAGGAACUGGAGGCUUUGGAAAAUGAUGUCUCUAACGGAUGGGAUCCCAAUGAUAUGUUUCGAUAUAAUGAAGAAAAUUAUGGUGUUGUGUCUACAUACGAUAGCAGUUUAUCUUCAUAUACGGUGCCCUUAGAAAGGGAUAACUCAGAAGAAUUUUUAAAACGGGAAGCAAGGGCAAACCAGUUAGCAGAAGAAAUUGAAUCAAGUGCCCAGUAUAAAGCCCGGGUGGCCCUGGAAAAUGAUGAUAGGAGCGAAGAAGAAAAAUACACAGCAGUUCAGAGAAAUUCCAGUGAACGUGAGGGCCACAGCAUAAACACUAGGGAAAAUAAAUAUAUUCCUCCUGGACAAAGAAAUAGAGAAGUCAUAUCCUGGGGAAGUGGGCGACAGAAUUCACCGCGUAUGGGCCAGCCAGGAUCAGGCUCCAUGCCGUCAAGAUCCACCUCUCACACUUCAGAUUUCAACCCGAAUUCUGGUUCUGACCAAAGAGUAGUUAAUGGAGUUUUUAUACUUUCCUUCAUAUCAUUUGUUCUGUCAGGUGUUCCCUGGCCAUCGCCUUGCCCAUCUCCUUCCUCUCGCCCACCUUCUCGCUACCAGUCAGGUCCCAACUCUCUUCCACCUCGGGCAGCCACCCCUACACGGCCGCCCUCCAGGCCCCCCUCGCGGCCAUCCAGACCCCCGUCUCACCCCUCUGCUCAUGGUUCUCCAGCUCCUGUCUCUACUAUGCCUAAACGCAUGUCUUCAGAAGGGCCUCCACGGAUGUCCCCAAAAGCCCAGCGACACCCUCGAAAUCACAGAGUUUCCACUGGGAGGGGUUCCAUUUCCAGUGGCCUAGAAUUUGUAUCCCAUACUCCACCAAGUGAAGCAGCUACUCCUCCAGCAGCAAGGACCAGUCCCGCGGGAGGCACAUGGUCAUCAGUGGUCAGUGGGGUUCCAAGAUUAUCCCCUAAAACACACAGACCCAGGUCUCCCAGACAGAAUAGUAUUGGAAAUACUCCUAGUGGGCCAGUUCUUGCUUCUCCCCAGGCUGGUAUUAUUCCAACUGAAGCUGUUGCUAUGCCUGUUCCAGCUGCAUCUCCUACGCCUGCCAGCCCUGCAUCCAACAGAGCUGUUACCCCAUCUAUUGAGGCUAAAGAUUCCAGGCUUCAUGAUCAGAGGCAGAACUCUCCUUCAGGGAAUAAAGAAAAUAUGAAGCCCAAUGAGACAUCGCCUAGCUUCUCAAAAGCUGAAAGUAAAGGUAUAUCACCAAUUGUUUCUGAACAUAGAAAACAAAUUGAUGAUUUAAAGAAAUUUAAGAAUGAUUUUAGGUUACAGCCAAGUGCUACUUCUGAAUCUAUGGAUCAACUGAUAAACAAAAAUAGAGAGGGAGAAAAAUCAAGAGAUUUGAUCAAAGACAAAAUUGAACCAAAUGCUAAGGAUUCUUUCAUUGAAAAUAGCAGCAACUGCACCAGUGGCAGCAGCAAGCCGAGCAGCCCCAGCAUUUCCCCUUCAAUCCUCAGUAACGUGGAGCACAAGAGAGGGCCUGAGGUCACAUCCCAGGGGGUUCAGACUUCCAGUCCAGGAUGUAAACAAGAGAAAGAUGAUAAAGAGGAGAAGAAAGAUGCAGCUGAGCAAGUGAGGAAAUCAACAUUGAAUCCCAAUGCGAAGGAGUUCAACCCUCGUUCCUUUUCUCAGCCAAAGCCUUCUACUACCCCAACUUCACCUCGUCCUCAAGCACAACCUAGCCCAUCUAUGGUGGGUCAUCAGCAGCCAACACCAGUUUAUACUCAACCUGUUUGUUUUGCACCAAAUAUGAUGUAUCCAGUCCCCGUGAGCCCAGGCGUGCAACCUUUAUAUCCUAUACCUAUGACGCCCAUGCCAGUGAAUCAAGCCAAGACAUAUAGAGCAGGUAAAGUACCAAAUAUGCCCCAACAACGGCAAGACCAGCAUCAUCAGAGCACCAUGAUGCACCCAGCGUCAGCAGCAGGACCACCAAUUGUGGCCACCCCGCCAGCUUAUUCCACACAAUAUGUUGCCUAUAGUCCUCAGCAGUUUCCGAAUCAGCCUCUCGUUCAGCAUGUGCCACAUUAUCAGUCUCAGCAUCCUCAUGUCUAUAGUCCUGUGAUACAGGGUAAUGCUAGGAUGAUGGCACCACCAACACAUGCCCAGCCUGGUUUAGUAUCUUCUUCAGCAACUCAGUACGGGGCUCAUGAGCAGACGCAUGCGAUGUAUGCAUGUCCCAAAUUACCAUACAACAAGGAGACAAGCCCUUCUUUCUACUUUGCCAUUUCCACUGGCUCCCUUGCUCAGCAGUAUGCGCAUCCUAACGCUACCCUGCACCCGCAUACUCCACACCCUCAGCCUUCAGCCACCCCUACCGGACAGCAGCAGAGCCAGCACGGUGGAAGCCACCCUGCACCCAGCCCUGUUCAGCACCAUCAGCACCAGGCCGCCCAGGCUCUUCAUCUGGCCAGUCCACAGCAGCAGUCAGCCAUCUACCACGCGGGGCUCGCGCCCACCCCACCUUCCAUGACACCUGCUUCCAAUACGCAGUCGCCACAGAAUAGUUUCCCAGCAGCACAACAGACCGUCUUUACGAUUCAUCCUUCUCAUGUUCAGCCAGCAUACACCAAUCCACCCCACAUGGCCCAUGUACCUCAGGCUCAUGUACAGUCAGGAAUGGUUCCUUCUCAUCCAACUGCCCAUGCGCCAAUGAUGCUAAUGACGACACAGCCACCCGGCGGUCCCCAGGCCGCCCUCGCUCAAAGUGCACUACAGCCCAUUCCAGUCUCGACAACAGCGCAUUUCCCCUAUAUGACGCACCCUUCAGUACAAGCCCACCACCAACAGCAGUUGUAAGGCUGCCCUGGAGGAACCGAAAGGCCAAAUUCCCUCCUCCCUUCUACUGCUUCUACCAACUGGAAGCACAGAAAACUAGAAUUUCAUUUAUUUUGUUUUUAAAAAAAUAUGUUGAUUUCUUGUAACAUCCAAUAGGAAUGCUAACAGUUCACUUGCAGUGGAAGAUAUUUGGACCGAGUAGAGGCAUUUAGGAACUUGUGGGCUGUUCCAUAAUUCCAUAUGCUGUUUCCAAGUCCCGCAAGUACCCCAGCUCUGCUUGCUGAAACUGGAAGUUAUUUAUUUUUUAAUGACCCUUGAAAGUCAUGAACACAUGAGCUAGCAAAAGAAGUAACAAGAGUGAUUCUUGCUGCUAUUACCGCAAAAAACAAACAAAAAACAAAAAAAAAAAUCAAGACUUGGAACACCCUUUUACUAAACUUGACAAAGUUUCAGUAAAUUCUUACCGUCAAACUGACGGAUUAUUAUUUAUAAAUCAAGUUUGAUGAAGUGAUCACUGUCUACAGUGGUUCAACUUUUAAGUUAAGGGAAAAACUUUUACUUUGUAGAUAAUAUAAAAUAAAAACCUAAAAAAAAUUAAAAAAUAAAAAAAAGUUUUAAAAACUGAUACCAAGUUAAUGUGUGUUUGUAUGAGCUAUUCCCAUUAUAGGAUACUGAAUAUGGGGGCAGGAGGUCUGGCUCUGCUUUCUUAAUACCCUGGAAGAUUCGCUAGCUGUCAAAUGCUUUUUUUUUUUCACCUUUAGUUCUAAUUCGAGGUAUCUCUAGAAAAAGACAAGACUGAGAUAAUUCUCUUUGGUGCAUAGAGGUCUGCUUCAGAAGGAGGAAGGUUGGCCAGAGUUGGGCAGCACUGAAAGUCCACAUCCUCAGCCCGACGCUGAUUCCAAAUGAUCAAAGGCAGAAGAUUUAUACCAGAUAAAACCAUAUGGAUUGCUGGUCUAAAAUUCAAGGCAGGUUAGUUGAUUGACUUAAUUCUUUGGUGCUGGUGACUGUUAGUUUGUAAAAGUUCAUUAACGUGAGAUGAAGGAAGCGAUGAGGCUGGGAGCAAUCAAGCUAUCCUGUUGCCUGUGAUUAGAGAUAACCAGAGGGGUUAUGAUGCCUUUAUUGUCCAUUUGGCCCUCAGAGCCUGGGCUCUCGGUGGAGGCCGCUGGCUUGGUCUCUUGCCGCUAGCGGUGGUCACAUUGAGCCUGAAAGGAGGGUGGUGGUGUGUGCUGACUGUGGUGGGCUGGCUGCAGCCAUCAGGGUCACUGCCUGUGGAGGCAUCAAGUCCAGGGACCCAUUGCUGCCCUUCCUUCAGCGCGACCUGCUCUAGCAGAAAGAGGCAGCACUGGGUUAGUGUCACUUCCUCCCAGGCCUUGAGGGGGCUUUGUGUUGGAAUGUAUUUGAGCUGUCGUCGUAACUCAGAAAGGUUUAGAAAUGUUUUUCUUGAACAUUCUAUACUGGAGCAGUGUGGAAGUAGGUGACUGUCCAGCGGGUCAGAGCUGCUAGCUUGGAGCCUGGCUUGCCUCUUGGCACUACCUGAGAAUUGUAUGUUGAGAGGCUGUUAAGGAGUGAGUGUCCCUGGCUUGAAGAUGUCAUAUCCCACAUGUUUAUUUACCCUUCUUGUGGGAGGGCGGGAACUUGUCUGGUUCAUUGUCUGCUUGCCCGUUCCCUGUGCAGAUAAGGGGAAAAGCUGUACCAGUGACGUGUCAGUAUUAGCUGUAUGUGAUGCACUUUCUCUUUUAAAAGAGAAAUCCAAAAUAGCGCUUACUCCUGGUUCACACUCAGCUUAGCAUUCCUUACUCAGAGACCUGCUUGAUGUGUGGAAUAUGAAGGAAAGACAAGUGCCCUCAGAAAUAGACCACAACUCUAGAUCAGGAUUGGAUCUUCUUUACUAUCUGUGAAAACACCCAGGAGUGUUGGGUUUUCAAGUGGUGAAGAGUGGUGGGCUGCUUACCUCCCCAUCCUUCCAAAGUCUGACCUCUAACCUCCUGGAGUACACAGAUAGUGGCUGGAGGGAGCAGACCAAACCCUCAUCCCAGAUAAGGCAGGCAGUAAUUUAGGCCAGGAUUUAAUUUUAGGCUUUGAUCAGUGCCUCUAUAAAUGUUAAGCUGUGCUAAAUUCCCAGUUUCCUAGAAGCCACUUCGGUGAGCCUGGCAGCUGUACUGAACGGCCCUGCUGGCAGCCAGGGGCAAUCGACUCCACUCUGUCACUGCCUGCCUUGUUUCUGAGCCUCCGCAUGAAAGUUCUGGGACAAGCCAGCUCCCUGUGAAUUGUUUCACUUGUGAAAGGCAAGUAUAGAUGGAACUUUGCCUCCAGGACCUCCCUGGAUGUCGGAGGUGGUGUGUGCUUGUUACAUCCACACACAUUCUUCAUCAGGUGAGGCAGUAACGGGCUGGAACAGGACAUUGAUCGUGGUCUCUUAAAGGAGUUUUUCAUUUAGCUGUGGCACCAGAUCCCUAGAUUCCAUUUUGGCUCAAGAAUGAGCCUAAAACCUGGUUGGGAUAAUUUAAUGUCAGUAGACUCUUUGAGGCUCUGAGCCAGUCCUGUUGGUGAAGGGUUUCCUAGAAA